rnacentral:rRNA from 1 species
GGCUUGUAGUCAUAUGCUUGUCUCAAAGAUUAAGCCAUGCAUGUCUAAGUAUAAGCAACUAUACGGUGAAACUGCGAAUGGCUCAUUAAAUCAGUUAUCGUUUAUUUGAUAGUACCUUACUACUUGGAUAACCGUGGUAAUUCUAGAGCUAAUACAUGCUAAAAACCCCAACUUCGGAAGGGGUGUAUUUAUUAGAUAAAAAACCAACGCCCUUCGGGGCUCCUCGGUGAUUCAUAAUAACUAAACGAAUCGCAUGGCCUUGCGCCGGCGAUGGUUCAUUCAAAUUUCUGCCCUAUCAACUUUCGAUGGUAGGAUAGUGGCCUACCAUGGUAUCAACGGGUAACGGGGAAUUAGGGUCCUAUUCCGGAGAGGGAGCCUGAGAAACGGCUACCACAUCCAAGGAAGGCAGCAGGCGCGCAAAUUACCCAAUCCCGACACGGGGAGGUAGUGACAAUAAAUACUGAUACAGGGCUCUUUUGGGUCUUGUAAUUGGAAUGAGUACNAUUUAAAUCCCUUAACGAGGAACAAUUGGAGGCAAGU